rnacentral:rRNA from 1 species
UACGUAGGGGGCUAGCGUUGUCCGGAUUUAUUGGGCGUAAAGAGCGUGUAGGCGGCCAGAUAGGUCUGCUGUGAAAACUCGAGGCUCAACCUCGAGAUGUCGGCGGAAACCAUUUGGCUAGAGUCCGGAAGAGGAAAGUGGAAUUCCUGGUGUAGCGGUGAAGUGCGCAGAUAUCAGGAAGAACACCCGUGGCGAAGGCGGCUUUCUGGGACGGUACUGACGCUGAGACGCGAAAGCGUGGGGAGCGAACAGG